rnacentral:ncRNA from 2 species
CGCAACCGUGCGGGAGAGUUCCGGAUUCGAUCCGGGCGCCGAAGGAGCAACACCUCCCCGUCAAUCUCUCAGGCACCAGGGACCGUGCGGAGUCC